GGGUCAGUAGGUUGGUCGUGCCACCGGUACGUACUGGUCUCACUGAUUCCUCCUUCCUGAAGAACCGUAAUGACAUUAAUUUGGUGUUGCGGGGAAACAGGACUGUUACUUUGAAAAAAUUAGAGUGUUUAAAGCAAGCUAACGAUUGAAUACAUUAGCAUGGAAUAAUGAAAUAGGACGAUCGAUCCUAUUUUGUUGGUUUCUAGGAUUGACGUA
rnacentral:rRNA from 1 species